rnacentral:rRNA from 1 species
AUAUCAAUAAGCGGAGGAAAAGAAACCAACAGGGAUUGCCUCAGUAACGGCGAGUGAAGCGGCAAAAGCUCAAAUUUGAAAUCCUCAGGGAAUUGUAUUUUGAAGGUUGACAGAGUUUGAAGGGUUCUUCUUAAGUUCAUUGGAAAAUGACGCCAUAGAGGGUGAUAGCCCCGUGAAGAAACCAAAUCCUUCUAUUUCUUUGUUCUCCAAAGAGUCGAGUUGUUUGGGAAUGCAGCUCUAAGUGGGUGGUAAAUUCCAUCUAAAGCUAAAUAUUGGCGAGAGACCGAUAGCGAACAAGUACAGUGAUGGAAAGAUGAAAAGCACUUUGAAAAGAGAGUGAAAAAGUACGUGAAAUUGUUGAAAGGGAAGGGCUUGCAAGCAGACACAACCUCGUGUUGGGCCAGCAUCGGGGCGAGGGGAAGUAAAACAGUCAAGAAAUAUAACUCCCUUCGGGGAGCAUUACAGUCUUUGUCCUACCACUUCCAUCUCAUCCCGAGGCCUGCGAAUUCUUCAAGGAUGCUGG